AACCUCCGCAAUGUGAGAAAUCGCGACGGGGGGAUCCCAAGUGCCAUUCUUAACGGGAUGGCUUUUCAUUAGUGUAAAGAGCUUUUGGAAUAAGAGCUGGGCAAGACCGGUGCCAGCCGCCGCGGUAACACCGGCAGCUCUAGUGGUAGCAAUUUUUAUUGGGCCUAAAGCGUCCGUAGCCGGUUUAAUAAGUCUCUGGUGAAAUCCUGUAGCUUAACUGUGGGAACUGCUGGAGAUACUAUUAGACUUGAGACCGGGAGAGGUUAGAGGUACUCCCAGGGUAGAGGUGAAAUUCUGUAAUCCUGGGAGGACCGCCUGUUGCGAAGGCGUCUAACUGGAACGGUUCUGACGGUGAGGGACGAAAGUUAGGGGCGCGAACCGGAUUAGAUACCCGGGUAGUCCUAACUGUAACGAUGCGGACUUGGUGUUGGGGUGGCUUUGAGCUGUCUCAGUGCCGAAGGGAAGCUGUUAAGUCCGCCGCCUGGGAAGUACGGUCGCAAGACUGAAACUUAAAAGGAUA
rnacentral:rRNA from 1 species